rnacentral:rRNA from 1 species
AUUGAACGCUGGCGGUAUGCUUUACACAUGCAAGUCGAACGGUAGAGGGGCAACCCUUGAGAGUGGCGGACGGGUGAGUAAUACAUCGGAACGUGCCCAGUCGUGGGGGAUAACGUAGCGAAAGCUACGCUAAUACCGCAUACGACCUGAGGGUGAAAGCGGGGGGCCUGCAAGGGCCUCGCGCGAUUGGAGCGGCCGAUGGCAGAUUAGGGAGUUGGUGAGGUAAAGGCGCACCAAGCCGACGAUCUGUAGCGGGUCUGAGAGGACGACCAGCCGAACAGGGACUGAGAAACGGCCCAGAAUCCUACGGGAGGCAGCAGUGGGGAAUUUUGGACAGUGGGCGCAAGCCUGAUCCAGCCAUACCGCGUGCAGGAAGAAGGCCUUCGGGUUGUAAACUGCUUUUGUCAGGGAAGAAAUCUUCUGGGCUAAUACCCUGGGAGGAUGACGGUACCUGAAGAAUAAGCACCGGCUAACUACGUGCCAGCAGCCGCCGUAACAC